GUAGGCCCCUGACUGAUAAGUGCUUCACUUGGGAGAAGGGUGCAAAUGUACCCUUUAACAAGUGAAAUUUGUUAAAAGCUCAGAACAGACCACCCAAGAAAAGAAGCUAAGAGGAGCGAACAGCUAAGUCUCAAGUGACAGCCAGGUUUGAACAGAGAGGAGGGGCAUUAGUGGGCAAUCGUGGGCAAUUCUGAGUCGCCUGCAGCUUAGCUCUAUGACACAUAUGCCAGCUUACUAGUUUUGAUGAUGCACUGUGUUAUUUGAGGCACUGACAUUAGGGGACGCUGGAGAAAGGAAACUUGGGACCCCUGCACUAUCUUUCCAGCUUCACGGUAAAUAUCAAGGUAAUUGGAAUGACUCAUCCCUCGACCAGUGUUGCUGAAUUCAGUUUCCUACAGUAAAAAAGGAAGGUGCAGGCACCUGGAGAAUGUACGGUAGAGCCCCAGGUACCUGCCCCUCCUUCUUACACCAGAAUGUCUGCAGUGGGCACCCUCUGCAACCAAAGGCACUUUCUUCAUCCCUUCCUCGGCAGGGAGUCUGUGUCUCUGAGAAGAUUCUGACCUCCCUGAGGGUAGGAUGGAAAAGUUAGCUUUCUCCUGUGGUUGCCUGCAUCUCAGUUCAAUGGAUGGAAAAUAUGUAUUUCCCCUCUAUACUCAUAUUUAUUUCGGAUGGGAUUCUUAGGUUCAACGUUUUCUAUGAUGUUCGAAGAUAUAAGAGGUGGAGUGUGAGGUUAUCUGAAGACAGGGUGUGGUGGUUUGAAUGAGAACGCCCCCCAUAGGCUCAUAGAUUUGAACACUUGGUCACCAGGGAGUGGCACUAUUUGAAAGGAUUAGGAGGUGUGGUUUUGUUGGGAAAAGUGUUUUAUUGGGCUUUGAGGUUUCAAAAUCUAUCCAGGCCCAGACUCUCUCUCUUCCUGCUGCCUGCAAAUGCAGAUGUAGAGCCCUCAGCUCUUUCUCAAGCACCACAUCUGUCUGCGUGUUGCCACAAUUUCUGCCAUGACGACAAUGGACUGAACCUCUGAAACUGUAAGCCAGUCCCAGGUAAAUGCUUUCAUUUAUGAGUUGCUGUGGUCGUGGUGCGUCUCCACAGCAAUAGAACUGAGACUGAGACACUGGGGCCUCACUCUAUAGCUCUCGUUGGCUUGGAAUCCACUCUGUAGCCUGAGCUGGCCUAGAACUCACAGAGAUCUGUCUGUCCCUGCUUCCUGAGGGCUGCCAUAAACACCACCACGUCCGGUUCGUUACAGAAUUGUCCUGUCUGCUGGGCAUUGCCCUAGUCCGAAGGAUGCAGCAGGAAGCCAAAUGACCUGGCUUGGAGGAGCUUAAAGCAAACUGGGGGCGUGGGAGAGGAGAGAGACAAUUCUCAAGCAAGUUCUGGGGGCUCCUCUCUCCUCCUCAUGUCAUCACCACUACAACAGGGCAGCCUGACACAGAAUGGGGGACAGGAAGAGCUGGCUAGCGCUCCCACUCUGCCUCCAGGUAAAAUCUGGUUUUAGCCACAGAAACAGCUGACAUCUGGGAGCUCUUGCUCCCCAGACUGAUAGCUGGGAAACCAGCAUAGGACUGAUCCAGACCCCAGGAACAUGGGUUUCGGAAAUCUACGGGAUCUCCUGUAGUAGUUCAGUAUUUAUCCCUAGCAUAGGUGUGGACUUUGGGAGCCCAUUCCACAUAGAGGAAUACUCCCUGAGCCAAGACACACGGGGGUGGGCCUAGGCCCUAUCCCAAAGGAUACAAAGACGCUGAUGACACCCUACGGAAGGCCUCACCAUCCAGGGGGAGCAGAAAGGAUAUGUGAUAGGCAGGGUUUUAGUUGGGAGGAUGGUAGGGGAGGACG
ensembl:lncRNA